UACGUAGGGACCAAGCGUUGUCCGGAAUCAUUGGGCGUAAAGAGCGUGUAGGCGGCUUGUUAAGUCUUGCGUGAAAUCUCGGGGCUCAACCCCCGAGCGGUCGUGAGAAACUGGCAGGCUAGAGUGCGGGAGAGGAGAGUGGAAUUCCUGGUGUAGCGGUGAAAUGCGCAGAUAUCAGGAGGAACACCGGUGGCGAAGGCGGUUCUCUGGGCCUUACCUGACGCUGAGGAGCGAAAGCGUGGGGAGCGAACGGG
rnacentral:rRNA from 1 species